rnacentral:rRNA from 1 species
CCUACGGGUGGCAGCAGUGAGGAAUAUUGGUCAAUGGCCGAAAGGCUGAACCAGCCAAGUCGCGUGAGGGAAGACGGCCCUACGGGUUUUAAGCCUCUUUUGUCGGGGAGCAAAGCGAGUCACGUGUGACUCGUUGAGAGUACCCGAAGAAACAGCAUCGCCUAACUCCGUGCCAGCCGCCGCGGUAAUACGGAGGCUGCGAGUGUUCUCCGUAUUUAUGGGGUUAAAGGGGUGCGCAGGCGGAGGUGCAAGUCAGCGGUAAAAUUGCGGGGCUCAACCCCGUAGUGCCGUUGAAACUGCAUCCCUUGAGUGCGCGAGAAGUAUGCGGAAUGCGUGGUGUAGCGGUGAAAUGCAUAGAUAUCACGCAGAACUCCGAUUGCGAAGGCAGCAUACUGGCGCGCAACUGACGCUCAUGCACGAAAGCGUGGGUAUCGAACAGGAUUAGAUACCCCUGUAGUC